AUGGAUACAGGAGAAUGGUAAGUGGAAAUCAUAUGUCUGAUUUUAAGAAACCAGAACCACCAUACAAAUAACAAAUUAACGUUACUCUUUGUGUUCAUUAGUUCAAGUCCAUUCUUGAUUUUUCUAAUGUUGCACUUCAAAAUGUCUGCAGACAAUGCUAGUAUUAAAGACCAUACAGCAAGUAGACAAGAUGACAAUCUUGCAGUUGGCAUUCAUGUUGGAGUGGGGACUUCGUGACAACUAGUUACAUGCUGCCAAUCUUCCAGUACGAAAUACAUGGAUGCUGCAUUUGUAAUAAGUAUCUCAAGAAAUAUUGCAUUCUUAGGUAAUGUGUUGUGAGAAAUACGCAUUUUCUUACUGAGAGUGGCUUGAAGAAUAUAUACAGUAAUCCAAGUGAGAUUAUCUCGGAAAAUAAAUUUAUUCAUAAUGAGUGUUUCUCGAGAAAUACAUUGGAUUCUGAGUGGUAGUACCUUGAGAAAUGCAAUGGUACUAUCUGAGAGCCUACAAUAGAGCCAACCCAUGCACCAUCGGCACGGAACACCAUGCUGCACGCCCUGAGCGACAAAGAAAAUGACGAUCUUUUUAUCAAAGGAUUAGGACAUUGGAGGAGGUAGAGGUAUGAAAAUAUUUAUGAUGACAUGUUAUGGUACUGCUUGUGCUUCCGCUUCCUUGCCGCUGCUAUGAAAAUAAUGAUGUUAAAAAUUAGGAAGCAUGUUUACCUUCUCACCUUUCGUAAUAUCCUGAUACAGAAGUUCUCCGAAAACACCGGGCCGUCGUCGCCUGUACGUGGAAGGGCAAAUUAGCCCGGCCGUUCCGUUGAAAAUCUACGAUCAUUUGCUUUUUGUAAUUGGUUUGUGUUGAAACAGUAUGCGGGUGAAUUCCACUCCUGUAGCUCAGACGAUGACAAAAGUAUAUAGAGGAUUCCUGAUACCAGCAGCAUUAUUGUUGAUAUGAUGAAUACCAACUGCCAUUGUUCUACAGUUUGCUACUGAGGAACUCACUUGCAAAGUUUGGGCUGAUAUCAAUGAAGCUUGCAAGGGGGCCUGUAGACACAGCGCCACUCAUUCCAGUUGCUACUGUUGAGUAUACAAUGGCUGCUGUGGCAUUACAACCUGAGAAGGCAAGUCCAAGCAUGAAAAAUCCCUGGCCGAUGCAACCUGAAAGAAUAUCAAAUAAUGAAAUAAGGAAAUAAAUAUGCAUCAGACUUUGCAGAUACUUGGGAAUGAGUACAAUAUUGGGCAUGAUGAGAUUCUAACACUGGGACCAGUCACUUUACAGAGUCACUUUGGGGCAUGAACACAAAAAACAGAUUUACCGAAGGAAAUUAAUUUUCUGGCAGCAGAACCUGAAGAUUUAAAUUGAUAAUACCAAAGCCUGUGAACAUUUAUUAUUUCUUUCUGGAUGUCAGUGCUCUAAUAAUUACAAAGAACCUAUAUAAUUUC